rnacentral:rRNA from 1 species
GCUUGUCUCAAAGAUUAAGCCAUGCAUGUCUAAGUAUAAACUGCUUAUACUGUGAAACUGCGAAUGGCUCAUUAAAUCAGUUAUAGUUUAUUUGAUGGUACCUACUACUCGGAUAACCGUAGUAAUUCUAGAGCUAAUACGUGCGCACAACCCGACUUCUGGAAGGGUCGUAUUUAUUAGAUUGAAACCAAUGCGGGUUCGCCCGGUAUUUGGUGAUUCAUAAUAACUUUCGGAUCGACUUCGGUCGAUGCAUCAUUCAAGUUUCUGCCCUAUCAGCUUUGGAUGGUAGGGUAUUGGCCUACCAUGGCUUUAACGGGUAACGGAGAAUUAGGGUUCGAUUCCGGAGAGGGAGCCUGAGAAAUGGCUACCACAUCCAAGGAAGGCAGCAGG